rnacentral:hammerhead_ribozyme from 1 species
AUCCAGCUGACGAGUCCCAAAUAGUACGAAAUGUGCAUCCUGGUGGAU